GAUCCAGAAGAUCAUCCGAUUGCACAGUUAUGUUAAAGCUUAAAGCUCAGCUUAGGAAUGCAAUAGGUACAGGCGAAUAGACUUUAUUCAUGUGAAAUCAUUCCCCUGCAUAGUUUCACUUACGGCACACGUAUAUAUAGAUUUUCGUGAUAGCAAUCGCAGAGUGAAUGGUGAAGACACGUGGAGUUACAUAACUUCCAAUUUUUCGCUAUUAUCUAAUCAUCCACUGUUUAUUUGGAUUAAUAAAUCCGAAGAGUGGCGUUAGCUGAACUACCCGAGGGAAAAGUGCAAAUAAAGUGAAAUUCUUGAAAGAAGCAAAGGGAUAGGAGUACUGGAAAAUCUUAAUACAGCCAAGCCGGCCAACCAAUCUACGGUAUCAACUACUGAAACAACAAAGCUGGCCGUUUGGGAGCUAGUGCAGUGCACAUCCACGGCGGCAAAGUGAAGGCUGAACCGUUGACGUUGGGCUAGCUCAAUAUCGGAAAUCAUUUACGGCUCGUGAAA